GCGCCGGUAGCAAAGCGGUCAAAUGUGAUGGUUUCAAGCACCAUUGGCUUAGUGCCUUCGCAGGUUCGAAUCCUGCCCGGCGCA
rnacentral:tRNA from 1 species